UUGAGAUGCUGGCCAAGAUAAAUAAAAUGUGAUUUCCAGGACAUUAGGGAAGGAAACAGACUACAAUCCAAAAUCCAUGGCAAAUAUUGGCAAGACUUUACUGUACAGAGCACCUUUCUGAAGCUUCAGCUUUUUUCUGUGGUCAGCACAAUUGAGUAGGGAGAGCUGUAAGCUGGAAGUAGAAAUAAAGGCUGGCAUUAUAGUAGUAACCUUCACUCCUCUUAUUCAACAGGUAUAUGUGGUAUAACUUCUACAAAUGUGGAAAAGUGCAAAAUUUCAGAGACAGAGAAGGCAGAGGGAAAGUAGACGAGACCACACCACUGAUACUUCCUUCAACUCAGUGGGGGCCAGGUUUGAACCUUGGUUCUGCACAUGUCCAAACAACACACUAUCCAGAAGAAAUAGAGGAACCAAGGAUGUGCACAUGGUAGAGGCCACACAUUAACAUGCAUGAAGAUUCAGGUUCAUGUCUUGGCCCUCACCUACAUGGAGAAAGUUUCACAAAUGGUGAAGCAGGGCCACAGGUAUCUCUUUCUUCUUUCCUCUCCAUAUUUAUCAUGUAUUUCUCUCUGUCUUUAUACAAAAAAGUGGUCAUGGGAGUCGGGCUAAGUGCACGUGGAAUGAAGCACAAGAACUGGCAUAAGGAUCCCAGUUAAGCCCCCGGGUACCCACCUGAAGGGGAGUCGCUUCACAGGUGGUGAAACAAAUCUUCAGGUGUCUAUCUUUCUCUCCCCCUCUAUUUCUCUUUCCCUCUUCUCUCCAUUUCUCUCUGUCCUAUUUAAAAAUGAUGACAUCAGUAACAACAACAAUAAUAACUACAACAAUAAUAAAAAACAACAAAUAAACAAAUUUAAAAAAUUAAAAAAAAACAAAAGUGGUCACUUGGAGGGGUGGAGGCAUCGUGAAAGCACUAAGUCCUGACAAUAACUAUGAUGACAGAAAUGAA